CUAAAUGGUCUGGCAAUGUUUUUGAUUUAAAAAAAGGGCACUUCUAAGACUAUCAAGAUAGAACAAGAUGUGGAUUUUUGCUUUCAACCACUGAAAACUAGUUUAUUCCACAACUGAGGGAAAAAGAAAAAUGUUUUUAGUUUUAGCAGUACUUUCUUCUCAUUCAGGAUUCAGUCUCUUGCAGAAACUCUAACACUGACUUACAGACACACUGAAUGUGCAGGAAGCAAAGGAGGAAGUAUGAAAAUAAAACUACACGUGGCAUUUACAGCAGAGAGGAUAUAUUACCCAAACUACAAUGAGGA
rnacentral:lncRNA from 1 species